AACAAGGCGUACCUGCGGACCUGCGGAGGGAUCAUUACAGAGUUCGUGCCCUCGCGGGUAGAUCUCCCACCCUUGUGUAUUUUCUACAUCUUGUUGCUUUGGCAGGCCGUUGGUUCGCCAACCACCGGCUCGCGGGCUGGUGCGUGCCUGCCAGAGGACCUCUCAAACUCGGUUUGUUAGUGUCGUCUGAGUACCAUAACAAUCGUUAAAACUUUCAACAACGGAUCUCAGAUCGGAAGA
rnacentral:misc_RNA from 1 species